ensembl:miRNA mirlet7j microRNA let-7g
GCCUGCCCCGGGCUGAGGUAGUUGUUUGUACAGUUUGAGGGUCUGUGAUACCACCCGGUAAUGGAGCUAACUGUACAGGCCACUGCCUUGCCCGGGGCAGCGCCUU